ensembl:snoRNA small nucleolar RNA SNORA64/SNORA10 family
AAACUUUCACUAUGCAUAGUUACUCUAGAUUUCACUGGUGUGACUUUCGGACCAGGAGAGAGAGAAAUGAGUUCCUCAAGUGCCUUGGAUUGACCUCACAGUGGCCUCUCUUUCCUAGAGGAGGACCACAGGU